UACAGAGGGGGCAAGCGUUGUUCGGAAUUACUGGGCGUAAAGGGCGCGUAGGCGGCCCGCUAAGUCGAACGUGAAAUCCCCGAGCUCAACUCGGGAACUGCGUCCGAUACUGGUGGGCUUGAAUCCGGGAGAGGGAUGCGGAAUUCCAGGUGUAGCGGUGAAAUGCGUAGAUAUCUGGAGGAACACCGGUGGCGAAGGCGGCAUCCUGGACCGAGAUUGACGCUGAGGCGCGAAAGCUAGGGGAGCAAACGGG
rnacentral:rRNA from 1 species